rnacentral:rRNA from 2 species
GAUGAACGCUAGCUACAGGCUUAACACAUGCAAGUCGAGGGGCAGCAUGGAAGAAGCUUGCUUCUUCUGAUGGCGACCGGCGCACGGGUGCGUAACGCGUAUCAAACCUGCCUCAUACUCGGGGAUAGCCUUGCGAAAGUAAGAUUAAUACCCGAUGUUGUUAUGUUACCGCAUGGUGAUAUAACCAAAGAUUUAUCGGUAUGAGAUGGUGAUGCGUCCGAUUAGGUAGUAGGCGGGGUAACGGCCCACCUAGCCUUCGAUCGGUAGGGGUUCUGAGAGGAAGGUCCCCCACACUGGAACUGAGACACGGUCCAGACUCCUACGGGAGGCAGCAGUGAGGAAUAUUGGUCAAUGGACGAAAGUCUGAACCAGCCAAGUAGCGUGCAGGAUGACGGCCCUCUGGGUUGUAAACUGCUUUUAGUUGGGAAUAAAAAAGAGGACGUGUCCUCUAUUGUAUGACCUCAGAAAAAGACC